rnacentral:snRNA from 1 species
GUGCUUGCUUCAGCAGUAUAUAUACUAAAAUUGGAACAAUACAGAGAAUGUUAGCAUGGCCCCUGCACAA